rnacentral:rRNA from 1 species
CUUGAACGCUGGCGGCAGGCCUAACACAUGCAAGUCGAGCGAGCGGCGGACUGGAGCGUAAUGUAUGGGGACUGCCCGCUAGAGGGGGAUAACUACUGGAAACGGUGGCUAAUACCGCUUACUAUCGGAUAACCCAUAUGUGAUUGGCUAGUAGGUGGGGUACAGGCUCACCUAGGCGACGAGCUCUAGCUGGUCUGAGAGGAUGAUGAGCAAAACGGGGACGGAGAAACGGCCCAGACUCCUACGGAGGCAGCAGUGGGGAAUAUUGCACAAUGGGCGCAAGCCUGAGGCAGCCAUGCCGCGUGUAUGAAGAAGGCCUUAGGGUUGUAAAGUACGUUCAGCGGGGAGGCGUUACCCGCAGAAGAAGCACCGGCUAACUCCGUGCCAGCAGCCGCGGUAAUAC